rnacentral:snRNA from 1 species
GUGCUCGCUUCAGCAGCACAUAUACUAA